rnacentral:misc_RNA from 1 species
CGCAAUCCACAAUUGCGUGUUAAUUUUGUUUUUACUUAAAUAAUUUUUUUACUAAAUAAUUAAUAAUAAUCGUGUUUUAAACUAAAAAUGAAUGAAAAUAUGGAGAUUGAUGCCCCAAGCGAUGUUGGAGCCUCCGCGAAUGUUGAAGGAACCCCUACGGAGGACGUUAUCGUGUUAGACGACGAUGAAGUUUGCGAUUUAACCACAAUAAAAACGGCGAAUAAAUGCUUAAAUUACGCCUGUAGAAGUGGCGAAAACAUGAUAAAACCCCCAAGUUUUUGCCUCUCUUAUUACCGAGUCAAAACAAAAUUAAGCAAAAAACAACAAAUUUGUGUAGAAUGUUACAACGAAGCUGUACAACAUUACGAUACAUUAGCGCAAGCCGUAUUCUCCGGGGUGGCUAUUUGCAGCAUUGAAACUCCUUAUAAAAACGAUGUGUUUGAAAUUCUCGAUUCGGACAGCGAUUCCGGAGGAGAAGAAGUAAUCGAUCCAAAAACGAUGAGCUUUUUGGAAGAGAAUUUCGACGAAACUUUAAAUAAAGUAAUAACCACUUACAAUUUCAACGAACAAUACGAAAAGUGUUUAAAACAAUUAAGCAAAGAUUGCACGCGAGUUCAAGAAAAAUUUAAUGAGGUUAAAAACGUUUAUUCCGAGAUACGAACCGACACAGACGGUAUGAUUUUUGAGUUAUCCAAUUUAAUGAGACCGGAUAUUCACGAAUUAUCCCCCAUUGAAAUCAACGAUGACAUAAACGAUGUGUUAAGAAACGCCGAAUUGAUCAAUCAAACCAAUAACGCACAAACGAUCAUCUCAAAACUUCCUAAUAUAUCACCAAAACCUCAAAAUUUCGUUCAAAAACCACAAAAUAAACUCCCCGAAACCACAUUAUCAUCGGUAACUUCACCGAACGUCGCCUCAAUCACCCAAUUAACCGGAGAAGUCGUUUUAAUCCCAUCUGAUUUACCCCCAAAAGGCCCCAUUAUAAAACAAACCAUAAAAACAGGCGAAACUUAUUACACAAAUCGUUUUGAAAUCAUUGGAACUUGGGUUAAGGGGACCUUAACAGGAAUUUUCGCCCCUAAUAAAUUCGAAAUAACCAUAGUGAGUCGACAAAAAACGAUUAAACGCAUGGUUACAGGGAAAGAAUUGGCUUAUUCGACCCCAUGUAACGUCCAAAUCGGACUUGGAACUCGCGUAAUAGCCGUUUUUAGGGAAUCGACGAAUAUGGGGGAGAUGAAAAAGAAUAAAAAGUGCUCGUUUUAUCCCGGGAUUAUCGCCGAACCGCUUCAAUUAAGCAAUAAGUAUCGAUAUUUAAUUUUUUUCGAUGACGGUUAUGCGCAGUACGUUAGUCAUAAUCACGUUCAUCUUAUUCAUGAAGCUAGUAGCGAUGUUACCGAGGAUAUUAAUGUUAAUGCGAGGGCUUUUGUUAGGAAGUAUCUUGAGAAUUAUAAAAAUCGAGCUUUGGUUAAGUGUCUUAAAGAUCAAACUGUGAGGACGGAAUAUAAUGGAAGAUGGAGAGUUGCAACAGUUUUAAACGUUGAUUGUUCGUUAGUUCAAGUUUAUUUCGACGAUAUUAACCGUAUCGAAUGGAUUUAUAGGGGUUCGACGCGGUUUGGGCCAAUGUUUGAUUUAGAACAAGCCGCCGCAAAUCGGCAACACAAACACAGAUUUUCAAGGAAACCAAACGCCACGGGUCCCCACGUUGAAUUUAUACGAGAAGAUGGCACGAUUUGCAGUUCGGAUAAUCAGAGUCAUCACGAACAACGAUCUGUCGCUAGAAAAAGUACUGCCAAAUCGAUUUCAAGUAAUUCUUCGAGUGUUGUUGUUCCAGAACAAGAAACUCCAACGACGAAGAUAGUGUAUUACACCCCACGUCGUCAAAAACCAAAAACCAACACUUUUAUCCCACAUAAUUGCAGCCCAGAUUGUCGAACUUACAUGUAUUGCCCGUUAACUCGUAUGAAAGGAUACAGCCCGCUCGCAAAACCUCUCCUUUGCGGAUUUUAUCGCCUCCUUUACAAAGUUAAACACAAACUUAAUUUCGUCAUAUACCGCGCGCCUUGCGGUCGUACCCUCCGAAAUAUAGCGGAAGUUCACCGAUACCUCCAAUUAACCCGCUCCGAACUCACCAUAGAUUUAUUCGACUUCCACAUCUACGUCCGUUGUUUGGCCGAGUUCAUGGUGGAAAGCAAAAGUAUUCAAAAUAAAGAUUUAUCAAACGGACUCGAGCAGUGUCCCAUAACCGUUUGUAACUACGUUGAUAAAUCACUUUUAGACUUUUGCAAUUACACCACGAAACGUCAACCGAUGGUGGGUGUCGAUUUAAAUUUGGACCCGAAUUUUUUGGUGUGUUGCGAUUGCACCGAUGAUUGUUUGGAUCGCUCGAAAUGUGCGUGUUGGCAAUUAACCUUACAAUGUUUGAAAUACAUGGAAAAAGGAACCGAUCCAAAAUCCGUCGGGUACCAAUACCGGAGACUUCUCGAACCGAUUUUCUCCGGAAUUUACGAAUGUAAUAGUCGUUGUCAUUGUAGACACACCUGUUUGAAUCGGGUCGUUCAAAACCCAAUGCAACAUAAGUUACAAGUUUUUAAAACUGACUCAAGGGGGUGGGGAAUCCGAUCUUUGAGUGAUAUCCCGGAAGGUUCAUUCGUGUGUAUUUAUGCGGGAUCACUUUUAACCGAAGAAAUGGCGAAUUUAGAUGGGAAAUCUUACGGGGAUGAAUACUUGGCCGAAUUAGAUUUUAUCGAAACCGCUGAAAGAACGAAAGAAGAUUACGAGGAGGAUCCAUAUCGGGAUGAAAUUAAAAAGGAGAGGGUUGUUGAGGAACCUUCCGAUAACGAAGAGGUUGUUGAUGAUUUUGAGGAAAUUGUUACGAAUCGAGAAGAUCGCGAUUUUGUCCCAUCUCGCACCGUUCCGAGGAGAAGACAUGGUUUUAGUAUCGAUGAUCACGAAACGGGGAUCCGAUCGAGGUUGAGGAAACGAAAUAUUGAAGCUAAUUUAUUACAGGAGAAGAAAGCGGAAAAGGAUGUUAUCAAAAUUGGAAUUCUUGAUGAUGAUGAUACGGUGAUGAUCAGCGAUGAUGAGGAUUAUCCUCCAAGAGAACCCUCCAGUUUUAACCCAAUGGGAGAGGUCGAUGAUAAAGAUUCAAGAAAGUAUAAAUCCGUGAGAGAACUUCACGGCGAAGAAGAAACCGUUUAUAUCAUGGAUGCUAAAAGUACAGGAAACAUAGGACGAUUUUUAAAUCAUUCUUGCGCUCCAAAUAUUUUCGUUCAAAACGUUUUCGUCGACACCCACGACCCGAGAUUCCCUUGGGUGGCCUUUUUCACGAUGGGGUACGUCAGAGCGGGUCAAGAAUUAACUUGGAAUUAUAACUAUGACAUUGGGAGCGUCCCUGGAAAGGUUUUGUAUUGUUUUUGCGGCACCAGCGAAUGUAAAGGACGAUUAUUAUAAACAAAAAAACUGCAACGACGUCUUCGUUGGUGAUAAUUCGAAAAUUGAAAAGGAAAUUCUUUAAAUUUAAUUACGAUGCAACCUCUAAUAAGAUUUACAUCGUUCGAAGACGUUGAUUGGGACGUGAACGGCGCUAUGAUUAGUAUUAACCGGGAUGUUAUAAAAAUGAACGUUUGGUGUUAAA